rnacentral:rRNA from 1 species
UUAAGCGACUAAGCGUACACGGUGGAUGCCCUGGCAGUCAGAGGCGAUGAAGGACGUGCUAAUCUGCGAAAAGCGUCGGUAAGGUGAUAUGAACCGUUAUAGCCGGCGAUGUCCGAAUGGGGAAACCCAGUGUGAUUCGUCACACUAUCGUUAACUGAAUACAUAGGUUAACGAGGCGAACCGGGGGAACUGAAACAUCUAAGUACCCCGAGGAAAAGAAAUCAACCGAGAUUCCCCCAGUAGCGGCGAGCGAACGGGGAGCAGCCCAGAGUCUGAAUCAGCUUGUGUGUUAGUGGAACGGUCUGGAAAGUCCGACGGUACAGGGUGAUAGUCCCGUACACCAAAAUGCACAGGUUGUGAACUCGAAGAGUAGGGCGGGACACGUGGUAUCCUGUCUGAAUAUGGGGGGACCAUCCUCCAAGGCUAAAUACUCCUGACUGACCGAUAGUGAACCAGUACCGUGAGGGAAAGGCGAAAAGAACCCCGGCGAGGGGAGUGAAAAAGAACCUGAAACCGUGUACGUACAAGCAGUGGGAGCACCUUCGGGUGUGACUGCGUACCUUUUGUAUAAUGGGUCAGCGACUUAUAUUCUGUAGCAAGGUUAACCGUAUAGGGGAGCCGCAGGGAAACCGAGUCUUAACUGGGCGUUAAGUUGCAGGGUAUAGACCCGAAACCCGGUGAUCUAGCCAUGGGCAGGUUGAAGGUUGGGUAACACUAACUGGAGGACCGAACCGACUAAUGUUGAAAAAUUAGCGGAUGACUUGUGGCUGGGGGUGAAAGGCCAAUCAAACCGGGAGAUAGCUGGUUCUCCCCGAAAGCUAUUUAGGUAGCGCCUCGUGAAUUCAUCUUCGGGGGUAGAGCACUGUUUCGGCUAGGGGGUCAUCCCGACUUACCAACCCGAUGCAAACUACGAAUACCGAAGAAUGUUAUCACGGGAGACACACGGCGGGUGCUAACGUCCGUCGUGAAGAGGGAAACAACCCAGACCGCCAGCUAAGGUCCCAAAGUCAUGGUUAAGUGGGAAACGAUGUGGGAAGGCACAGACAGCCAGGAUGUUGGCUUAGAAGCAGCCAUCAUUUAAAGAAAGCGUAAUAGCUCACUGGUCGAGUCGGCCUGCGCGGAAGAUGUAACGGGGCUAAACCAUGCACCGAAGCUGCGGCAGCGACACUAUGUGUUGUUGGGUAGGGGAGCGUUCUGUAAGCCUGCGAAGGUGUGCUGUGAGGCAUGCUGGAGGUAUCAGAAGUGCGAAUGCUGACAUAAGUAACGAUAAAGCGGGUGAAAAGCCCGCUCGCCGGAAGACCAAGGGUUCCUGUCCAACGUUAAUCGGGGCAGGGUGAGUCGACCCCUAAGGCGAGGCCGAAAGGCGUAGUCGAUGGGAAACAGGUUAAUAUUCCUGUACUUGGUGUUACUGCGAAGGGGGGACGGAGAAGGCUAUGUUAGCCGGGCGACGGUUGUCCCGGUUUAAGCAUGUAGGCUGAUUAUCCAGGCAAAUCCGGAUAAUCAAGGCUGAGGUGUGAUGACGAGGCACUACGGUGCUGAAGUAACAAAUGCCCUGCUUCCAGGAAAAGCCUCUAAGCAUCAGGUAACAUCAAAUCGUACCCCAAACCGACACAGGUGGUCAGGUAGAGAAUACCAAGGCGCUUGAGAGAACUCGGGUGAAGGAACUAGGCAAAAUGGUGCCGUAACUUCGGGAGAAGGCACGCUGGUGUGUAGGUGAAGUCCCUGCGGAUGGAGCUGAGACCAGUCGAAGAUACCAGCUGGCUGCAACUGUUUAUUAAAAACACAGCACUGUGCAAACACGAAAGUGGACGUAUACGGUGUGACGCCUGCCCGGUGCCGGAAGGUUAAUUGAUGGGGUUAUCCGUAAGGAGAAGCUCUUGAUCGAAGCCCCGGUAAACGGCGGCCGUAACUAUAACGGUCCUAAGGUAGCGAAAUUCCUUGUCGGGUAAGUUCCGACCUGCACGAAUGGCGUAAUGAUGGCCAGGCUGUCUCCACCCGAGACUCAGUGAAAUUGAACUCGCUGUGAAGAUGCAGUGUACCCGCGGCAAGACGGAAAGACCCCGUGAACCUUUACUAUAGCUUGACACUGAACAUUGAGCCUUGAUGUGUAGGAUAGGUGGGAGGCUUUGAAGCGUGGACGCCAGUCUGCGUGGAGCCAACCUUGAAAUACCACCCUUUAAUGUUUGAUGUUCUAACGUUGGCCCCUGACCGGGGUUGCGGACAGUGUCUGGUGGGUAGUUUGACUGGGGCGGUCUCCUCCCAAAGCGUAACGGAGGAGCACGAAGGUUAGCUAAUCCUGGUCGGACAUCAGGAGGUUAGUGCAAUGGCAUAAGCUAGCUUGACUGCGAGCGUGACGGCGCGAGCAGGUGCGAAAGCAGGUCAUAGUGAUCCGGUGGUUCUGAAUGGAAGGGCCAUCGCUCAACGGAUAAAAGGUACUCCGGGGAUAACAGGCUGAUACCGCCCAAGAGUUCAUAUCGACGGCGGUGUUUGGCACCUCGAUGUCGGCUCAUCACAUCCUGGGGCUGAAGUAGGUCCCAAGGGUAUGGCUGUUCGCCAUUUAAAGUGGUACGCGAGCUGGGUUUAGAACGUCGUGAGACAGUUCGGUCCCUAUCUGCCGUGGGCGCUGGAGAAUUGAGGGGGGCUGCUCCUAGUACGAGAGGACCGGAGUGGACGCAUCACUGGUGUUCGGGUUGUCAUGCCAAUGGCACUGCCCGGUAGCUAAAUGCGGAAGAGAUAAGUGCUGAAAGCAUCUAAGCACGAAACUUGCCCCGAGAUGAGUUCUCCCUGAGACUUUAAGUCUCCUGAAGGAACGUUAAAGACGAUGACGUUGAUAGGCCGGGUGUGUAAGCGCAGCGAUGCGUUGAGCUAACCGGUACUAAUGAACCGUGAGGCUUAACCUU